rnacentral:rRNA from 1 species
UGUACACACCGCCCGUCACACCAUGGGAGCGGGUUCUGCCAGAAGUAGUUAGCCUAACCGUAAGGAGGGCGAUUACCACGGCAGGGUUCGUGACUGGGGUGAAGUCGUAACAAGGUAGCCGUAUCGGAAGGUGCGGCUGGAUCACCUCCUUUCUGGAAAUAUGCAGUCAAAUUCUUACGCCCAUUCUUAUCGGCUGUUGUGUUAAACAACAGCAAUGUCACCGAGUUAAUUCAAGUUAAUUAGCAUUAAUUGGUGCCGCCUUCGAGUUUAUUAAUGAGAGUUAAUUAAUCAGAGGGUCUGUAGCUCAGCUGGUUAGAGCAUCGUCUUGAUAAGGCGGGGGUCGUUGGUUCGAGUCCAACCAGACCCACCAAUUGGGCUUAGGUGGAGAGCGAGAAGCGAAAAAGAAAUCCCGGGGGAUUAGCUCAGCUGGGAGAGCACCUGCUUUGCAAGCAGGGGGUCGACGGUUCGAUCCCGUCAUCCUCCACCAAAAUAUUCAGCAGAUUGAUAGAUUCAGUCUGUUGGAAAAAAACUUAUCAGAAGCAAAUUAAAUUAAUGCAAAGCAUGUUCGCGACAAGUCGCGAGGAUGCUUUGUAUUGAUUGAUUCAUUUCAAUUAUUGGCUGUUCUUUAAAAAUUUAUAGAGUUAAAUUAGCGUCGUUAGCGGAAACUGCACAUUCGUAAAGGUUUAGUGCAGACCGUGCCGCUAGCGACAUAGUAGUAAAUAAUUUUUUGAUUGCGUCAAAAGAAACUUUUAAUUUCGAUAGUAAUUUAUUGAAUAAUUGGAAGAUACGGCAUAACGCGUGUGGUGUAAGACCACACAAUCAUUCCUUGAAGAUAGCUUAUGAGAAAUCAAAGUUAUAGGGUCAAGCGAAUAAGAGCAUAUGGUGGAUGCCUAGGCAAUGAUAGGCGACGAAAGACGUGAUAGCCUGCGAUAAGCUUCGGGGAGCUGGCAAAUUAGCUUUGAUCCGGAGAUUUCUGAAUGGGGAAACCCACCCUUCGGGGUAACGCUGACUGAAUACAUAGGUCUGCGUGGCGAACCGGGUGAACUGAAACAUCUCAGUAGCUCGAGGAAAAGACAUCAACCGAGAUUCCGAGAGUAGUGGCGAGCGAAA